AGUGAACGCUGGCGGCGUGCCUAAUACAUGCAAGUCGAACGAAGUGGCGCACGGGUGAGUAAUAUAUAGUUAAUCUGCCCUACAAAGAGGAACGACAGUUGGAAACGACUGCUAAUACCUCAUAGUGUAGGAUGAGACUAUAGCGUAUCAGCUAGUUGGUAAGGUAAUGGCUUUCCAAGGCUAUGACGCGUAACUGGUCUGAUAGGAUGAUCAGUUACAUUCGAACUGAGACACGGUCCAAACUCCUUCGGGAGGCAGCAGUAACGAAUAUUGCGCAAUGGGGGAACCCCUGACGCACCUACGCCGCGUGGAGGAUGAUCCUUGUCGGAGCGUAAACUCCUUUUAUUAGGAAAGCGGUACCUGAUGAAUAAGCACCGGCUAACUCCGUGCCAGCAGCCGCGGUAAUUC
rnacentral:rRNA from 1 species